rnacentral:rRNA from 1 species
UACGUAGGGGGCAAGCGUUGUUCGGAAUUACUGGGCGUAAAGCGCGCGUAGGCGGCUUUGUAAGUUAGAGGUGAAAGCCCGGGGCUCAACCCCGGAACUGCCUUUAAGACUGCAUCGCUUGAAUCCAGGAGAGGUGAGUGGAAUUCCGAGUGUAGAGGUGAAAUUCGUAGAUAUUCGGAAGAACACCAGUGGCGAAGGCGGCUCACUGGACUGGUAUUGACGCUGAUGUGCGAAAGCGUGGGGAGCAAACAGG